AUCAUGCGUUGCUUGCUGACAUACUUCCUUUGUAACUGCUGCUAUCAACAAGUCAUCUACAUAUUGUAAUAAUACACACUCUCCUGGGAUAGACUCGAAAUCUAGUAGAUCUUGACUUAGAGCUGAACCAAAUAGGGUAGGUGAAUUUUUAAACCCCUGGGGCAAUCUUGUCCAGGUCAUUUGGCGUUUCGAGCCCGUUACAGCAUUUUCCCAUUGGAAAGCGAAGAUACAUUGGCUUUCUG